GGGCACGUAGCUCAAUGGCGGAGCAUUUCUCUUAUAAAGAAAAGGAUGUUGGUUCAAGUCCAACCGUGCCCACCU
rnacentral:tRNA from 3 species